AUUAAAAGUCCACGGACUGCCCCAUCACUGAGCACUGACACUUGAUUCAGCAGGAAAUUUGUCUGGAAGAAGACCACACAGGCAUAAAAAUGAAUAAAAUUUGGAUACUGUGCUUUGCGGUGCUGUUCAUCACCAUACCAUUUUCAACUCAGGAUACCCCCGUUCAAAAGUCAAGUGGAGGCACAGCAACUAGUACUUCCACAAAUUCCAGCGCUGUAGGAUUGGGUCCUGUUCCCACUACACUCUACCUGCUGAUCCCAGCAGCCACCCUGGGCUUCAUCCACAGUAGAUGCUGAACUGAUGGAUGGAGAUCGUUCACCGUAGAUGACCAAGACUGAGACAGUGGCGAAAUGGACAGCCAUUCACCCAAAGAGCAAACUUUUCCACAAAUCUUGAAGAUGCCACAGCUCACAUUUUUGUAAUGGAUUUUAAGUAAUGAUAAUGAAUACAUUUGGAGAAUUUCUCCAAGAGAGAACUGUUUGGUUACACCUGUUUUAGGGAGCCCAAAAGACACCAGCAUCUCCUGCUACAGAACCACACCAUCGGGCUCUUUGUCGUGUUUUGCUUCAAAGUCACUGUUUUAGACAGACCUCACCUACUCAAUGGCAAAUUCUCUUGGAAGAGUUUGUUUCUUCUAUGCUCACUAUAUAACUGAGAUGGUUAUAGAACUCCAUUACUUAAAUCAGUAAUCAUUGUGCAUUUAAAAUUUCAGCCAAUUUCCAUUUCUAUAAUGAUAUUAUGUACACUACAAAUUUGAAAUUUUACUAUAUGAAUGUGAUCAAUGUACUCCAUCUCAGAAUAUGUCUGUAUGCAAAAUUAAAUGUGAUGAUUAUAUAUGUUUGUAUGUCAUUUUUUCAUUUAAACCAGUGUUAAAAUUGUGUUCUUCUACGAUGUAUACAGCAAUCAGAGUUUUAUAAUAGUUUAUCCCCAAGCAAUUAGAUAAGUACAAAUAAACUUAGCAUAAUCAGGAUUUCCCAUGCUUCUUAACAACAGACCGAGCAAAGCAACACAAGUUUAUUAAGAUAAUAGGAUGUAGAGUAGAAAACACAGGUAUCCUGGAUUAAAGUUUCUGAGAGAUUUUAGUGUAUUUGACAUUUUAAAAACCGUUUUUAUUUCGAAAUCUUCUCAGACAGAGAUAAAGAGGAUGUACUGAUAGAGGAUGUGAUUCUCCUCCUCAACCAAUUGGCGGGCAUUUAUACACGUCACACAUCAGUCACUGUGAGAAUAAAACUCGCCGCCCUUCCCGCAACACCUAGCACAGACUUUCUCUUCCACACAAAACAUCUCUAGAAGAAGAAGAAGAAGGCAUAAUCAUGAAUAAAAUCCUGAUGUUGUGCCUUGGGUUACUGCUUAUAACCUUACCUUUUUCAUCUCAGCAGGAUACACAGCUAAAUCAAGCAGUCAACGUAAAUUCCACCUCUGGAAGUACUAAAAAUUCAGGAUUUGGUCCACUGCCCACCGCGCUGUGCCUGCUGAUCCCAGCAGUCACCCUGGGCUUCAUCCACAGUAGAACCUAAACUGUCUGGAGAAUGUUUAGAUGAAGAAGAGGAGCAAAGAUGGACAGCCAGUCACAUGAAGCCCAACGAAAAAGAAGCUCAUCUGUUGUGUUUUAACCUUGCUUUAAAUUGGACUCAUCAGUCGCAACAUUGUGCAUGAAUCUGAUCACUGUAAUCCACAAAUUUCUCCAAAAUAUUUUUGUACUAACUGCGAUAAAUUGUAAUGAUUAAAAAUGUGUCUACAUGCGCAAUUAAAGUGGAUUCUUGUA